rnacentral:rRNA from 1 species
UACGUAGGGGGCAAGCGUUGUCCGGAAUUAUUGGGCGUAAAGAGCGCGUAGGCGGUCCGAUAAGUCGGCUGUGAAAGUCAAGGGCUCAACCCUUGAAAGCCGGCCGAUACUGUCGGACUAGAGUCCGGAAGAGGCGAGUGGAAUUCCCGGUGUAGCGGUGAAAUGCGCAGAUAUCAGGAGGAACACCGGUGGCGAAGGCGGGUCUCUGGGCCGAUACUGACGCUGAGGAGCGAAAGCGUGGGGAGCGAACAGG